CUGCAUUGGGCGACAAAGUUUGGAUUGCGUUGGUUGUGCAUGAAUCAUCAUGUCUAGCAUUGGUAAGUGCUAGUACUCUAUUCGCAAGAAGCGAGAUUGGAAAAGAAAGAUGCGAUUCUGGAUAGUACUCCAUUCUUCAUGCUUAUGUUCAUGUGAUGUAUGUGUCGAUACUUCCGCUCAUCUUGCCUUGAUCUCCAUGUUUGGAGAUUUUCUAUUUGGAGUAAUGUGGUUAUCGCCUCUCGGAAGAGGGCUCCUUCUCCUGGCCUUUUUAUGGUAAAAAGCAAGUCGCGUGAGUGUAUGCAAGUACAUAGAAAUCAUCAAUUGAUUGAUUACGGGAUGAUUAGACGAGUAAAUUUAUUUUUUGAUUUAUUUCCCUUCUUACCAGACUCGGAAUUGAUUUGAG
rnacentral:lncRNA from 1 species